UACAGAGGGUGCAAGCGUUAAUCGGAAUUACUGGGCGUAAAGCGUGCGUAGACGGUUACGUAAGUCAGAUGUGAAAGCCCCGGGCUCAACCUGGGAAUUGCAUUUGAGACUGCGUAGCUAGGGUGCGGAAGAGGGAAGCGGAAUUUCCGGUGUAGCGGUGAAAUGCGCAGAUAUCAGGAGGAACACCGGUGGCGAAGGCGGAUCUCUGGGCCAUUACUGACGCUGAGGAGCGAAAGCGUGGGGAGCGAACAGG
rnacentral:rRNA from 1 species